rnacentral:rRNA from 1 species
UACGUAGGGUGCAAGCGUUGUCCGGAAUUAUUGGGCGUAAAGAGCUCGUAGGCGGUUUGUCGCGUCGGCUGUGAAAACCUGGGGCUCAACCCCGGGCCUGCAGCCAAUACGGGCAAACUAGAAUUCGGUAGGGGAGACUGGAAUUCCUGGUGUAGCGGUGAAAUGCGCAGAUAUCAGGAGGAACACCGAUGGCGAAGGCAGGUCUCUGGGCCACUACUGACGCUGAGAAGCGAAAGUGUGGGGAGCGAACAGG